rfam:Schistosoma margrebowiei strain Zambia genome assembly, scaffold: SMRZ_scaffold0001879
AUCCAGUUGACGAGUCCCAAAUUAGACAAAACGCACGUCCUAGAU